rnacentral:rRNA from 1 species
AUUGAACGCUAGCGGCAGGCCUAACACAUGCAAGUCGAGCGAGCGGCGGACGGGUGAGUAAUGUAUGGGGACCUGCCCGAUAGCGGGGGAUAACUACUGGAAACGGUGGCUAAUACCGCAUACUAUCGGAUGAACCCAUAUGGGAUUAGCUAGUAGGUGGGGUAAAGGCUCACCUAGGCGACGAUCCCUAGCUGGUCUGAGAGGAUGACCAGCCACACUGGGACUGAGACACGGCCCAGACUCCUACGGGAGGCAGCAGUGGGGAAUUUUGGACAAUGGGCGCAAGCCUGAUGCAGCCAUGCCGCGUGUAUGAAGAAGGCCUUCGGGUUGUAAAGUACUUUCAGCGGAGAGGCGUUACCCGCAGAAUAAGCACCGGCUAACUCCGUGCCAGCAGCCGCGGUAAUAC